rnacentral:rRNA from 1 species
GAUGAACGCUGGCGGCGUGCCUAAUACAUGCAAGUCGAGCGAAGCGGGGACGGGUGAGUAACACGUGGAUAACCUCCUAUAAGACUGGGAUAAAUUCGGGAAACCGGGGCUAAACCGGAUACUUUAAAAUGGAUCCUAGCUGAAUUAGCUAGUUGGUAAGGUAACGGCUUACAAAGGCAACGAUGCAUAGCCGACCUGAGAGGGUGAUCGUCCACACUGGAACUGAUACACGGUCCAGACUCCUACGGGAGGCAGCAGUAGGGAAUCUGCCGCAAUGGGCGAAAGCCUGACGGAGCAACGCCGCGUGAGUGAUGAAGGUCUUCGGAUCGUAAAACUCUGAUAUUAGGGAAGCGGUACCUAAUCAGAAAGCCACGGCUAACUACGUGCCAGCAGCCGCGGUAAUUC